rnacentral:rRNA from 1 species
UACGGAGGGUGCGAGCGUUGUCCGGAAUCACUGGGCGUAAAGGGCGCGUAGGCGGCGCGGGAAGUCAACGGUGAAAGCUUGGGGCUCAACUCCGAGUCUGCCGUCGAUACUCCCGUGCUCGAGCACUGUAGAGGCAGAUGGAAUUCCGGGUGUAGCGGUGGAAUGCGUAGAGAUCCGGAAGAACACCGGUGGCGAAGGCGGUCUGCUGGGCAGUUGCUGACGCUGAUGCGCGACAGCGUGGGGAGCAAACAGG